rnacentral:rRNA from 1 species
AUUGAACGCUGGCGGCAGGCUUAACACAUGCAAGUCGAGCGGAGCGGCGGUCGGGUGCGUAAUGCUUAGGAAUCUGCCUGUUAGUGGGGGAUAACGUCCGCUAAUGGGCGCUAAUGCUGCAUACUAUCUGCUUAGCCUAGGGCGGAGUAGCUAGUUGGUGGGGGAAAGGCGUACCAAGGCGACGAUCCGUAACUGGGCUGAGAGGAUGAUCAGUCAAACUGGAACUGAGGAACGGUCCAGACUCCGACGUGAGGAAGCAGUGGGGAAUAUUGGAAAAGGGGCGAAAGGCGGAUGCAGCCAUGCCGCGGGUGUGAAGAAGGUCUUCGGGGUGUAAAGCACUUUAAGUUGGGAGGUGUUACCAGCAGAAGAAGCACCGGCUAACUUCGUGCCAGCAGCCGCGGUAAUUC